AUCAUUUGGUUUAUGAGCGUGAUGAUUGGGUGUUCAUAUCUUAUAAUGCAUGAGAUGUGCCUCCCUCAAACCUUGUUACGACAUGGGCACAUUACCCAUCUGACG